rnacentral:rRNA from 1 species
GUGUCAGCAGCCGCGGUAACACGUAGGGGGCGAGCGUUGUCCGGAUUUAUUGGGCGUAAAGAGCUCGUAGGCGGCUUUGUCAGUCGGGUGUGAAACCUCCAGGCUCAACCUGGAGCCGCCACCCGAUACUGCAAUAGCUAGAGUCCGGUAGGGGAGCAUGGAACUCCUGGUGUAGCGGUGAAAUGCGCAGAUAUCAGGAAGAACACCAGUGGCGAAGGCGGUGCUCUGGGCCGGAACUGACGCUGAGGAGCGAAAGCGUGGGGAGCAAACAGGAUUAGAAACCCUCGUAGUCC